AUGGCAGGAGUUGGAGCUGGAGCUGGAGCUCGCGGCGGCACAGCGGCUGGGGUCAAGGCCCGUGUUCACGAUCCACCACCCGCACACCGUGUCCAUCUGCACCACCCUCAGCCUGCGGCACAGCCCUCGGCCUGCAGGAUAGAUGGCGGGUUGGAGGCCUGAGCUCCGGGGACAAUGCCCCGACCAUUGAGGUGCUUUUUGUGACACUGGGUGCAGGCGUGAUGGCACUCAGUCACCCACCACACUACAUGAAGCUGCUCAUCCAGGUGGGUCAUGAGCUGAUGCCCCCCACCCUUGGGACCAAUGUGCUAGAGAGGAAGGUCCUCUACCUGCCAAGCUUCUUCACCUAUGCCAAGUACAUUGUGCAAGUGGAUGGUAAGAUAGGGCUGUUCCAAGGCCUGAGCCUCUGACUGAUGUCCAGCACCCUCUCCACUGGGACCCAGGGCAGCAUGAAGAAGGUGUUGCCUCCAGAUGAGAUUGAGCAGGUUUCCAGCAAGAAUGAUAUGAAGACUUCUCUGAAGAAAGUCGUGAAAGAGACCUCCUAUGAGAUGAUGAUACAGUAUGUAUCCUGUAUGUUGGCCCACGCCCUGCAUGUCAUCUCAAUGCGCUGCAUGGUCCAGUUUAUGUGCUGGGAGGGCAAGUACAGCAGUGUGCUGAGCUUCAUUGGAAAGAUAUUUAAAGAGGAUGGGCUGCUGGGAUUCUUUGUUGGCUUAAUCCCUCACCUCCUGGGUGAUGUGGUUAUCUUGUGGGGCUGUAACCUGCUGGCCCACUUCAUCAAUGCCUACCUGGUGGAUGACAGCAUGAGUGACACCCCAGGGGGACUGGGAAAUGACCAGAAUCCAGGUUCCCAGUUUAUCCAGGCCCUGGCCAUCUGGAGCUACACCAAGUUUGUGAUGGGGAUCACAGUGAGCAUGCUGACCUACCCCUUCCUGCUGGUCGGUGACCUCAUGACUGUGAACAACUGCAGGCAGCAGGCAGGGCUCCCCAUUUACUCCCCAGUGUUGAAAUCCUGGAUUCACUGCUGGAAGUACCUGAGUAUACAGGGCCAGCUCUUCUGAGGCUCCAGCCUGCUUUUCCUCCGGGUGUCAUCAGGAUCAUGUUUUGUCCUGGAGUAA